rnacentral:rRNA from 1 species
UACAGGGGGGGCAAGCGUUGUCCGGAAUUACUGGGCGUAAAGGGCUCGUAGGUGGCCAACUAAGUCGGACGUGAAAUCCCUCAGCUUAACUGGGGAACUGCGUCCGAUACUGGAUGGCUUGAGUUUGGGAGAGGGAUGCGGAAUUCCAGGUGUAGCGGUGAAAUGCGUAGAUAUCUGGAGGAACACCGGUGGCGAAGGCGGCAUCCUGGACCAACACUGACACUGAGGAGCGAAAGCCAGGGGAGCAAACGGG